rnacentral:rRNA from 1 species
GACGAAGGUGGCGAGCGUGGUUCGGAAUCACUGGGCGUAAAGCGCACGUAGGCGGCUUGUUAAGUCAGGGGGGAAAUCCCGGAGCUCAACUCCGGAACUGCCUUUGAUACUGACGAGCUUGAGUUCGGGAGAGGUGAGUGGAACUGCGAGUGUAGAGGUGAAAUUCGUAGAUAUUCGCAAGAACACCAGUGGCGAAGGCGGCUCACUGGCCCGAUACUGACGCUGAGGUGCGAAAGCGUGGGGAGCAAACAGG